AGGAUGAACGCUGGCGGCGUGCCUAAUACAUGCAAGUCGAGCGGUAAGGCCCCUUCGGGGGUACACGAGCGGCGGACGGCUGAGUAACACGUAGGAACGUACCCCAGAGUGAGGGAUAAGCACCGGAAACGGUGUCUAAUACCGCAUAACCUCUUCGGAGAAAAGCUUCGGCGCUUUGGGAACGGCCUGCGCAUGAUUAGCUUGUUGGUGAGGUAAAAGCUCACCAAGGCGACGAUCAUUAGCUGGUCUGAGAGGAUGAUCAGCCAGACUGGGACUGAGAACGGCCCAGACUCCUACGGGAGGCAGCAGUAGGGAAUUUUCCACAAUGGGGGCAACCCUGAUGGAGCAACGCCGCGUGCAGGACGAAGGCUUUCGGGUCGUAAACUGCUUUUAUCUGUGACGAAUAUGACGGUAGCAGAUGAAUAAGGAUCGGCUAACUCCGUGCCAGCAGCCGC
rnacentral:rRNA from 1 species